rnacentral:rRNA from 1 species
CAGUAGCCGCGGUAACACGAAGGGUGCAAGCGUUACUCGGAAUUACUGGGCGUAAAGCGUGCGUAGGUGGUGGUUUAAGUCCGUUGUGAAAGCCCUGGGCUCAACCUGGGAAUUGCAGUGGAUACUGGGUCACUAGAGUGUGGUAGAGGAUAGUGGGAUUUCCGGUGUAGCAGUGAAAUGCGUAGAGAUCGGAAGGAACAUCUGUGGCGAAGGCGACUAUCUGGGCCAACACUGACACUGAGGCACGAAAGCGUGGGGAGCAAACGGGAUUAGAGACCCCGGUAGUCCCUGUCUCUUAUAC